AUCCCUACCUGGCAGGGGAGAUAGCGUGAUCACAAAGGUGGCUUUCCCAGAGCGAGGCUCUCCCAUUGCACUCUGGGUGUGCUGACCCCUGCGAGGUCCCCAAAGGGGGUGAACUCCAUCGCGUCAUUGGUGGUAGUGGGGGACUGCGUGCGCGCUGCCCUAA